UACCUACUCCCUCCGUUCUGAAUUACCUGUCACACGUAUUGAUGUAUCUAGAUGUAUUUUAAUUCUAGAUACAUCCAUUGCAGUGACGAGUAAUUUGGGAUGGAGGGAGUACUUC
rfam:Triticum aestivum genome assembly, contig: Triticum_aestivum_CS42_TGACv1_scaffold_289143_4AL